GAUUAACGCUAGCGGCAGGCCUAAUACAUGCAAGUCGAACGGGAUUAAUUGUAGCAAUACGAUUAUGAGAGUGGCGCACGGGUGCGUAACACGUAUGCAACCUACCUUUAACUGGGGAAUAGCUCACCGAAAGGUGAAUUAAUACCGCAUAACAUUAUGAAGUGGCAUUACUUUAUAAUUAAACUUUCGAGGGUUAAAGAUGGGCAUGCGUCCGAUUAGCUAGUUGGCGGGGUAACAGCCCACCAAGGCUACGAUCGGUAGGGGGUCUGAGAGGAUGAUCCCCCACACUGGUACUGAGACACGGACCAGACUCCUACGGGAGGCAGCAGUAAGGAAUAUUGGACAAUGGAGGAAACUCUGAUCCAGCCAUGCCGCGUGAAGGAUUAAGGCCCUAUGGGUUGUAAACUUCUUUUAUACGGGACAAAACCCCUCUACGUGUAGAGGGUUGAUGGUACUGUAAGAAUAAGGGUCGGCUAACUUCGUG
rnacentral:rRNA from 1 species